rnacentral:rRNA from 1 species
UACGUAGGGGGCAAGCGUUGUUCGGAAUUACUGGGCGUAAAGGGCUCGUAGGCGGCCAACUAAGUCAGACGUGAAAUCCCUCGGCUUAACCGGGGAACUGCGUCUGAUACUGGAUGGCUAGAGUUUGGGAGAGGGAUGCGGAAUUCCUGGUGUAGCGGUGGAAUGCGCAGAUAUCAGGAGGAACACCGGUGGCGAAGGCGGGAUCCUGGGCCAGUACUGACGCUGAGGAGCGAAAGCGUGGGGAGCAAACAGG